rnacentral:rRNA from 1 species
UACGAAGGGUGCAAGCGUUGUUCGGAAUCAUUGGGCGUAAAGCGCGCGCAGGCGGAUUGAUAAGUCAGGUGUGAAAUCUCGAGGCUCAACCUCGAAACUGCGCCUGAAACUAUUAGUCUAGAAUGUCGGAGGGGACAGGGGAAUUUCACGUGUAGGGGUAAAAUCCGUAGAGAUGUGAAGGAACACCGGAGGCGAAGGCGCCUGUCUGGACGACUAUUGACGCUGAGGCGCGAAAGCGUGGGGAGCAAACAGG